AGUGAACGCUGGCGGUAGGCCUAACACAUGCAAGUCGAACGGCAGCACAGUAAGAGCUUGCUCUUACGGGUGGCGAGUGGCGGACGGGUGAGGAAUACAUCGGAAUCUACUUUUUCGUGGGGGAUAACGUAGGGAAACUUACGCUAAUACCGCAUACGACCUACGGGUGAAGGCAGGGGAUCUUCGGACCUUGCGCGAUUGAAUGAGCCGAUGUCGGAUUAGCUAGUUGGCGGGGUAAAGGCCCACCAAGGCGACGAUCCGUAGCUGGUCUGAGAGGAUGAUCAGCCACACUGGAACUGAGACACGGUCCAGACUCCUACGGGAGGCAGCAGUGGGGAAUAUUGGACAAUGGGCGCAAGCCUGAUCCAGCCAUACCGCGUGGGUGAAGAAGGCCUUCGGGCUGUAAAGCCCUUUUGUUGGGAAAGAAAAGCAGCAGGUUAAUACCCCGCUGUUCUGACGGUUCCCAAAGAAUAAGCACCGGCUAACUUCGUG
rnacentral:rRNA from 1 species